UGGGGAAUCUUGCGCAAUGCGCGAAAGCGUGACGCAGCAACGCCGCGUGAGGGAAGACGGCCUUCGGGUUGUAAACCUCUUUCAGUUGGGACGAAGCCUGUCCGGUGAAUAGCCGGUUCAGGUGACGGUACCUUCAGAAGAAGCCCCGGCUAACUACGUGCCAGCAGCCGCGGUAAUACGUAGGGGGCAAGCGUUGUCCGGAAUCAUUGGGCGUAAAGCGCGUGUAGGCGGCCAGGUAAGUCCGUUCUGAAAGCCCGGGGCUCAACCCCGGGAGGCGGAUGGAUACUGCUUGGCUCGAGUCCGGAAGAGGCGAGUGGAAUUCCCGGUGUAGCGGUGAAAUGCGCAGAUAUCGGGAGGAACACCAAUGGCGAAGGCAGCUCGCUGGGACGGUACUGACGCUGAGACGCGAAAGCGUGGGGAGCAAACAGG
rnacentral:rRNA from 1 species